rnacentral:rRNA from 1 species
CCUANGGGUGGCAGCAGUGGGGAAUUUUGCGCAAUGGGGGAAACCCUGACGCAGCGAUGCCGCGUGGAGGAUGAAGGUCUUCGGAUUGUAAACUCCUUUUGCAGGGGAAAAAUGCUUGCGCGAAGAGCGCAAGUUGAUGGUACUCUGCGAAUAAGCCACGGCUAACUUCGUGCCAGCAGCCGCGGUAAGACGAAGGUGGCGAGCGUUACUCGGAAUUACUAGGCGUAAAGCGUGGGCAGGUGGUUCGGUAAGUCUGUUGUGAAAGCUCCUGGCUUAACUGGGAGAGGCCAAUGGAUACUGCCGGACUUGAAUAUGGGAGAGGUAACUGGAAUUCCUGGUGUAGCGGUGAAAUGCGUAGAUAUCAGGAGGAACACCAAUGGCGAAAGCAGGUUACUGGACCAUUAUUGACACUCAUCCACGAAAGCUAGGGGAUCAAACAGGAUUAGAUACCCUGNUANUC